GUGGAUUAGAUACCCGGGUAGUCCACGCCCUAAACGAUGCGCGCUAGGUCUCUGGGUUUUCUGGGGGCCGAAGCCAACGCGUUAAGCGCGCCGCCUGGGGAGUACGGCCGCAAGGCUGAAACUCAAAGGAAUUGACGGGGGCCCGCACAAGCGGUGGAGCAUGUGGUUUAAUUCGAAGCAACGCGAAGAACCUUACCAGGCCUUGACAUGCUAGGGAACCUGCCUGAAAGGGUGGGGUGCCCCGCGAGGGGAGCCCUAGCACAGGUGCUGCACGGUCGUCGCCUGCU
rnacentral:rRNA from 1 species